AGGCUGGUUGAACGUCUCCUCUGCAGCUGAUGCUAACUUUUUUAAUGUAAUGCAUUGAUUAACAUUACUUUCCAAUCCUUUGCUUGUUUCUAUCCCUCUCCUCUCAGCCCCUUGCACCCCCACGGAUUUGACAGUUGAAACUGAAUGUGGCACCAACCUGGCAACUUUGGCCUGGGCACAAAGCUUCUACACCGUGUCCUACACGGCCACCGUGAGUGGCUCACAUGGUCAUGUGGUUUCCUGCUCAACCAACAGCACACUGAACUGCUCCAUGCCAGUGGACUGUGGACACCACUACUCAGGAGUGGUGGUGGCUUCCAGCGAAACGUGCAACAGCAGCACAUCAGCUAUGAUAUCAUUUGACUCGGGUGACAGAAACAAAAAAGAAACAGUCCACAAAGUGUAUUCAGACUUUAAAUUUAACUCUGACUAAAGGUUUUUUUUCCUCUGUUCACCUCCAACAGCUCCUUGUUUGCCUAAAAACGUCCAAGCAGAGCUGGACUGCAAUACCAACAAGUUUGCGGUGCAGUGGGAGGGCAGCUCCAGCAACGUGGGCCUUUAUACAGCCAUGGCUAUUGGCAGUGAUGGCUCAAGAGAAACGUGUGACUCCGAUAAAGACAACUGCACCAUCCACAACGUGAAGUGCGGACUCACUUACAGCCUCCUUGUCACCACGUCCACGGUUGACUGCGGUAUCAUCAAAGGAUCGAACUACAAGAUGCAGUCAGCUCCCUGCACACCCAACACUAUGUCAGUGGACCUGCAGUGCCACACCCAGGAAGUGUUUGUCACCUGGGAAAACUCUGGCCCAGAUCAGACUCAGGAGGUUUCUGCCAUGGACGCCAUAGGAAUGAUCACCGUGUGCCACUCCAACAGCUCCAACUGCACCUUUGAGCAGCUGUCGUGUGGCAGGAGUUACAUGAUCAGCGUGGUCGGACACACUGACACGUGCAGCAGUGAGCCCACAAUGCCAGAGCUGCUAACCAUGGCUCCAUGCAUUCCCACACACGUGGAAGCUCAUGUCAACUGCAACACCAACAUCACUCUGGUGACAUGGGACUCAGCUCUGGGAGCAACGUCCUACACUGUCUAUGCUCAGGGGAGCCUGGGCCACUACGAUGAAUGCACCAGCACCGACACCAGCUGUGACUUCCAAGACCUGGCGUGUGGACAGGACUACAACAUCACGGUGGUUGCUCGCCACGACACCUGUGACAGUUUGGCCAGCGAGACGGUCACUGCCACCACAGGUGAUCACAGUUUACUAAAGUAGUACAUUUUAGUGUUACACUGGAGCCAGACACUAAUGACGACAGAAGAACAGAAAAAUAGAGCCAAUAUCUCGCUGAGU
rnacentral:lncRNA from 1 species